CCUACGGGAGGCAGCAGUAGGGAAUAUUGCUCAAUGGGGGAAACCCUGAAGCAGCAACGCCGCGUGGAGGAUGAAGGUUUUAGGAUUGUAAACUCCUUUUGUUAGAGAAGAUUAUGACGGUAUCUAACGAAUAAGCACCGGCUAACUCCGUGCCAGCAGCCGCGGUAAUACGGAGGGUGCAAGCGUUACUCGGAAUCACUGGGCGUAAAGAGUGCGUAGGCGGGGUAAUAGGUCAGAUGUGAAAUCCUGUAGCUUAACUACAGAACUGCAUUUGAAACUGUUACUCUGGAGUGUGGGAGAGGUAGGUGGAAUUCGUGGUGUAGGGGUGAAAUGCGUAGAGAUCAAGAGGAACACUCAUUGCGAAGGCGACUUGCUGGAACAUAACUGACGCUGAUGCACGAAAGCGUGGGGAGCAAACAGGAUUAGAUACCCGAGUAGUC
rnacentral:rRNA from 1 species